UGGGGAAUCUUGCGCAAUGGGGGAAACCUUGACGCAGCAACGCCGCGUGGGUGAUGAAGGCCUUCGGGUCGUAAAGCCCUGUCAGGUGGGAAGAAACAUGUCGGUGCUAAUAUCACCGAUGUUUGACGGUACCGCCGGAGGAAGCACCGGCUAACUCCGUGCCAGCAGCCGCGGUAAUACGGAGGGUGCAAGCGUUGUUCGGAAUUACUGGGCGUAAAGCGCGUGUAGGCGGUCGGGCAAGUCAGAUGUGAAAGCCUUCCGCUUAACGGAAGAAGUGCAUUUGAAACUACCCGGCUGGAGUACGGGAGAGGAGAGUGGAAUUCCCGGUGUAGAGGUGAAAUUCGUAGAUAUCGGGAGGAACACCAGUGGCGAAGGCGGCUCUCUGGUCCGAUACUGACGC
rnacentral:rRNA from 1 species